CUCAAACUCAUCAGCAACCAGCUGCAGAGGAGCUUGCAUCCACUAAAAGCAGCAGGAACAAAGUCAGGAAACAAAUGCUCCGAAGGAAAAAGUGAAAAACCUCAAAGCAAACAGACACUCAAAGAAAGGAAGACGAAGAAGAGAAAGGAAAGGAGGCAAAACAAAAGACGAGAGAAGAAAUUCACUGAAACAUCACUUGAUGAUUGCACAAAAACUCAGAUCUGCCAAACGGUACACCUUGCACAAAGCUUUGGACCUCAUUACAGCACCAGUUGAAGAUGGUUUGGUCCACUCAUCUGGUCUGGGUUCUGCCAACUUCAUUGAAGGGAUAGAUCUUUGCCAUGAAAUGGGUAGCAGUCGAUGAACCGGUUUUUGAACUGCUGCAGUAUCCAGAUUUUGAAGCAAUUCACCCGAUGGUCCACUGGCUUGAGAUCGGUCUGUUGCGCAGCCUCUUAACUUAAGAAAACCUCCGUAUUAUGGGUCAAGUUAUUAAUCAACUGCAACAAGAUGAUGAUGAGGAGGACAAUCUUCAGAAGGAUGAGGCUGAUGAGAAAGAGGCUGAUGUUCCAGCAGCAGGCAUAGAAAUAAAUCCACCUCAAGUUGAAGAACCCUGGCUCAAUAACAGAGCAGAGAUCCCAGCAGGAGAAAUGGAAAUAAACCCGGCCCAACAAGCUGAAGAUCCCAUAGCUGAAGAAAUGAGGUCAUUCUGGGAUAACGAGGAGGCUGAGAGUGACAGUGUCCCUGAGAGUGGUCCUGACAGUGACCCCGAUCACAGUGACACUGACGACAGCGACAGUGAUGAUGAUGGAGCCAAGGGUGGAGGAGAAUGAUGAAGAGGAAGAUGGGAGACCCAGAAAAUGAUCCAAACACUGAAUUUUGCUCCUGGACACUCAGUGUUGCACCCAUCCUCCAAACCCACAGUCCCCCGUCCUAACAAACUGAAUCUCAGCUUUCCCCCUCUGACGCACUGACUUAGUUUCCUGCCACCAGCGACCUGUUGACCUGACUGCCACGUACCACCUGUGGAUAUCUGUUCAGCCUGUGACCCACUAUGAUUGUGCUUACAAGUGGAAUGCAACAAGUGUGUGUUUCAUACCACUGGUACCUUGUUAGGUGGUGAUGAUCGUGCUCUUACUGGUCGCAGUUAUGGAGGGAGUGGUCCUAUUGGUUGGCUCCCACAUUAGGAAGGCGGGGUUGGGGCCUUCCUAUUAUCAUUAUGCCAACAUUAUUAAUAUGGUAUAGUCUUCCUCCCCUUUUUCCUUCCUGCUGUCACCAAAUGCUUGCUCAUCGGGGCUCAAACUCAUCAGCAACCAGCUGCAGAGGAGCUUGCAUCCACUAAGAGCAGCAGGAACAAAGUCAGGAAACAAAUGCUCCGAAGGAAAAAGUGAAAAACCUCAAAGCAAACAGACACUCAAAGAAAGGAAGACGAAGAAGAGAAAGGAAAGGAGGCAAAACAAAAGACGAGAGAAGAAAUUCACUGAAACAUCACAUCACAUUCCACAAAAACCCAGAUCUGCCAAACGGUACACCUUGCACAAAGCUUUGGACCUCAUUACAGCACCAGUUGAAGAUGGAGGUUUGGUCCACUCAUCUGGUCUGGGUUCUGCCAACUUCAUUGAAGGGAUAGAUCUUUGCCAUGAAAUAACACAAUGGAUAACUUCUUCCAUGUGCAGUGUUGAUGAUGUUGAAGAAGAAGAAACUGGGGUCUCCAGCUCCACUGAGGCAGCCAUUAACCAGGAGGUAAGGUAGAUGGAGAGGAAGCAUAGUAGCAGCCAAAGACAGAAGAGCCCUGAAGCAGUACAUAAGUCCACAUUUUCUGUAUUUGUCCUGUUGCCUUUGUAAUUGGUGAUGUCUUUCAGGCCCUCCCAUACCUUUCUGGAGUUGUUAUCAGAGAGGUGAUCUGAUAGCUUGUUUGAAUAGUCCAGUUUUGCUGCUCUGCUCUACAUGUCCUGGUCCACAGAUUUGUAUGUAGAGUUGCGUGCCUUUAACAAUGCCUGAACCUUACUUGUCAUCCAGGGUUUUACAGUUGGGGUAGACCCAGACCGCUUUUCCGUGGUGACAGUGUCAGUGCGUGACACAGCACUGCAGUUGUUUGAGUCUGUAGGUCAUCGUGUUCAUCAUGUUGCUUCUAUUUUUCUUGUUUCAAUGUUUCUACUGUUAAGAAUAAUAGAUUGCUUAAUAUACAUCAGAGUUAAAGAGACUAUAGUUUGGGAUUGCUUGCAAUAUUACAAUAUGGCGGUUGAUGGGUGUAAGAAUACAAAAUAGAAAAUAGGCCUGGAAUUGGAACAAAGAACUGGGGUGCAGGGCAGGAGGGCAAUCACCCCCCACCCCCAGGGCAGGAAGCAAGAGUUACUGAGGGUGAGGGGCAGACAAAGGGCAAACGGACACUACCUUAAAAGGAGAUGGGGGUUAGGUUUGGGGGAUUUAAUUGGUUGAUGCAUUUCUUUUGGUACCAAGUUGAACCUGCCAAUUAGUUUUGGUAUGAUUUACCCUUCUAAGAUGAAGAGCGUGCGUAGACAUGACUUAACUAGGCUUUCUUAUUUUUUACUUUCACAGUGCACUGAGUUUUGUUUGAAAAUCUCUCUCGUUUGAGCAGGCCUGCAUGAUUGGAACUGAAAGCGCUACACAACAUUUUGUCAGGAACGAUUGAAGUGAGCUUCUCCACAUUAAAAUUGGCUCUGGAGAAAGCCACUUAUUUGGGACACAACUAGAUAGCAAGUCCCUGUCUAAAAGGAUUCGGUGAGGUAAUCCAGUCUAAUUAACUUAAUGCCACACGAGAGGUUCUGCUAUCAGCAAUAAACAUGGAGGACUGACUGGACUGACAAAUGUUUGACUGACUUGACGACUUGACACUGAGGCUCAAGAUUGCACCUCCACCCAGACAGCAACAAAAGGGUGGAUGUAUGUAUGUUUUUUUACAGGAGCAGGAGGAUGAAAGCGACAGUUUUGCAUCCGCUUAUGGGAUGGAACCAGCUUCCAGUUUGGAUUCAGGAGACAGACACUAUCUCUACUUUUUAGAUUAGGCUUAAAACUUUCCUCUUUGCUAAAGCAUAUAGUUAUGGCUGGAUCAGGUGACCCUGAAUCCUCCCUUAGUUAUGCUGCAAUAGGCAUAGGCUACUGGGGGACUCCCAUGAUUUUCCUCUUCAGUCACCUUUCUCACUCAGUCUGUGUUAAUAGACCUCUCUGCAUUGAAUCAUAUCUGU